rnacentral:lncRNA from 1 species
AGAAAAAAAAAAGUAUGCUGAGAUUGCUAAGAUCUACACCUAAUGAGGAGGUGACUAUCAUGAAGGUCUGGUGGUGAAGAUCUUGCAAGAAGGUGCCUUGUUUGAGAUCUUUCAAGGAAACACAGUACUCAAUAAAUGUGGUUCGGUGUACAGUUGAGCCUUGAGCAACAUGGAUUUGAACUGCAUGGGGCCACUUAAAUGUGCAUUUUCUUAUGACUCCGCUGCUCUUGAGACAGCAAGAUCAAGCCCCCUCCUCCUCAGCCAACUCAACGUGAAGACAAUGAAGAUCAAGAUCUUUAAGAUGAUCCACUUCCACUUAAUGAAUAAUAAAUAUAUUUUGUCGUUA